GGCCGGUUAGCACAGCGGUAGUGCACCCCGGGCUGCGAGCUUGCUCGCAGCCACCCUACGAAAGACGAUUUUGCGAGUCGUCUUUCGUCGGGAAGACGGAGGUUCAAAUCCUCUACCGGCCA
rnacentral:tRNA from 1 species